GCGCUGUUAGCUCAGUGGUAGAGCGGGACAUUGCAGCUAUUCCAGUUAUGUCUAGGUCGUUCGUUCAAUCCGGACACAGCGCU
rnacentral:tRNA from 1 species